rnacentral:sRNA from 1 species
GGAUUACUCCUUUACGCUUUCGCGUUUGGUUGAUAAAGAUUCGCACCUCUAUCAAACCGGGUAAUCCCACCUCUUGGCAAGACCUGCUGUCAGAUCAAAUCUGAACUACUACAAUUUACUUCUCCGCCUUCAUACAUCUGGCUGCAGCAACUUUAUGGCUUUAAAUGUCGAUUCGACCUAGAGUACAAGAUUUAUCGGACAAUUUUGAUCACGAAUGCUGGUUG